AUGCCAGUGCCCUCCUCCACGCGCUGCCCCGCCGGGCCUCUCCUGCAACCGAGUCCCUCUCCCAGGCGCCCGCGUCGCCAAGUACCUCGACCAGCCGGAGCUUCUUCCAGCCUCGCGCGCCCGAGCCCCCGAGCUCCUCUGGUCGCGCACGAGCUCUGUGACCCCGACGGCCACUUCGUCAGUCUCGUCGCCGCCGUUGACUCGCAGGCCAGCACCUUGCCUCCUCCUGCCGACGCCCUCCACCACCCAGGCCAGCCCCCGUCGCCUUUCUCUUUUUCCUCCGUCCUUCUCCACCUCCCUAAUCUCUCUGCUCCCUCUCUGCUGCUAUGGUCAGGUGCCCCGUCGUCCGCGCCAAGACCAGCUAGCAGGCGCCCGCGUUCGUCGUCCCGAACCUCGCCUUCGCCUCACGCCUUCGCCUCAACUCCGGCCGGAUCGGCUCGGUUCCCCGCCGCCCCGCCAAGUCCAUGGGGCCGCCUCCCUGUCGCACGUCCGGUGAGGUCACCGGAGAGUGCCGUGCCUCUGCUGCCUCUCUAUCCCGCCGUCGCUCCUAGCUUCCUUCCCUGUUCCCUCUCUGAAUCCUCUCCCCGACCUUCAUUUCUUCAGGCUUCAAUAGCAGCCAUGGAGCCGCCCCGCUUCAAUUCGGCAGGGAACGGGACCCCGACGACCUCCACCGCCCGAAUCCACCGCCUCCUGCCGCCCUUCACCUCCUGCCGUCGCCCGGAUCCAGCGCCCCUCCGCCCGCCCAUCCCCGGCCUCCUGUGCUCGCCUGCUUCCUCUGCAUCGAAGCCGCUCGCCCUUUGUCUGCAUCGCCCCGAACCGGUCUCCCCUCCGCGCGUUGACCACGCCCUGCCUCACUUCGAUCUGCCUGCGAAGCCCAAGUCCAGCCAGCCGGCCUGCCUUGCCUCUCCACCGACCGGGCCGAGGCCCAUGCUUCGGUUUCGUUCCGGAGUUGUGAGGAUUCGUUCGACUCCGUCCGUUUGUCUUCUUCAUGGACUCGUUCUUCUUCCUUGCGGGAUCUCAGGCAAGAUGACCAUACCCUCGAAAUCACUUCUAUCUUUGCUUGCUAGUUGUUCGCUCGAUUGCUAUGCCGCGUUACCUAUCACUUGCUUAUCAAGCCUCCCAAAUUGCCAUGAACCUCUAACCUUUGUCACCCUUCCUAGCAAACCAUUGUUUGGCUAUGUUCCCGCUUUUGCUCAGCCCCUCUUAUAG
rnacentral:rRNA from 1 species